UAUUCAGAGAAGUAUUUAGAAGACUCUUGUGGAAUUCUUGGUGGAACUGCUGUUCUCGUCAACAGGGACAACAGUAAAGGAACCUGAUCUUCACCAUGCCUCAUGGUGGUGGGUCACACUGCCCAGGAGGAACCCGCAAGGAGACUGGCAGGUGCCUUAACCAUCUCAUUUUCUCAUCAGGAAGCCUGAACGACUCUUCAUGGCUACAUACUUCCUGGGCAAACAUGUCUGCUUUGUUGGGAUAAAGGACACUCUAGACCAGGCUCUGCUGAAGGACCCAGGGCAAAGGUUCCUGACAAGACUGUGUCCAGCCUCACAUCAGGCCACAGAAGAGCCCAGGCACUCUGAGGAGCACCAGUUCGGGGCAGUCACAUCAGGAGACAGAAACAGACAUGUUGGGGCCGACUUCUCAGGUCAGUGCGAACGCCAUUUGACGAGGGCCAAGAGCUUUGCAGCAUAAAAUGACCAGAACAAGGGGAAACACAGAUGCAAUGGCAAUAGCUGGCAAUUUGCACAUGGCGUCAAACACCACUGCCACAGAAGCUUUUUAGCUACAAGCCACGCUAUGCAACCUUCAAGCAAAACAUUAUUGAUUUCGUGGUUGUAAAAACAUACCUUCCACUGCAGAACUCAGUUUUAUGACACCUUGAAUAAAAACAAAAAGUGGCAGUUAUAUAAUGGACCCAAAUCGCCUUUUCCAGGCUCCUCAUAACACACCCAUGCUUCAGAUCUGGAUUUUUCUUUUUCUUUUUUUUUGCUGGCAUUGCAAGAACGUAACGAAACAAACAUCAACUUCAAAAAUAAAAUAAUGUUUAGUCUUAA